rnacentral:rRNA from 1 species
CCCGGUGAUCUAGCCAUGGGCAGGUUGAAGGUUGGGUAACACUAACUGGAGGACCGAACCGACUAAUGUUGAAAAAUUAGCGGAUGACCUGUGGCUGGGGGUGAAAGGCCAAUCAAACCGGGAGAUAGCUGGUUCUCCCCGAAAGCUAUUUAGGUAGCGCCUCGUGAAUUCAUCUCCGGGGGUAGAGCACUGUUUCGGCUAGGGGGCCAUCCCGGCUUACCAACCCGAUGCAAACUGCGAAUACCGGAGAAUGUUAUCACGGGAGACACACGGCGGGUGCUAACGUCCGUCGUGAAGAGGGAAACAACCCAGACCGCCAGCUAAGGUCCCAAAGUCAUGGUUAAGUGGGAAACGAUGUGGGAAGGCCCAGACAGCCAGGAUGUUGGCUUAGAAGCAGCCAUCAUUUAAAGAAAGCGUAAUAGCUCACUGGUCGAGUCGGCCUGCGCGGAAGAUGUAACGGGGCUAAACCAUGCACCGAAGCUGCGGCAGCGACACUGUGUGUUGUUGGGUAGGGGAGCGUUCUGUAAGCCUGUGAAGGUGUGUCGUGAGGCAUGCUGGAGGUAUCAGAAGUGCGAAUGCUGACAUAAGUAACGAUAAAGCGGGUGAAAAGCCCGCUCGCCGGAAGACCAAGGGUUCCUGUCCAACGUUAAUCGGGGCAGGGUGAGUCGACCCCUAAGGCGAGGCCGAAAGGCGUAGUCGAUGGGAAACGGGUUAAUAUUCCCGUACUUGGUGUUACUGCGAAGGGGGGACGGAGAAGGCUAUGUUGGCCGGGCGACGGUUGUCCCGGUUUAAGCGUGUAGGCUGGUUUUCCAGGCAAAUCCGGAAAAUCAAGGCUGAGGCGUGAUGACGAGGCACUACGGUGCUGAAGCAACAAAUGCCCUGCUUCCAGGAAAAGCCUCUAAGCAUCAGGUAACAUCAAAUCGUACCCCAAACCGACACAGGUGGUCAGGUAGAGAAUACCAAGGCGCUUGAGAGAACUCGGGUGAAGGAACUAGGCAAAAUGGUGCCGUAACUUCGGGAGAAGGCACGCUGACACGUAGGUGAAGUGAUUUACUCAUGGAGCUGAAGUCAGUCGAAGAUACCAGCUGGCUGCAACUGUUUAUUAAAAACACAGCACUGUGCAAACACGAAAGUGGACGUAUACGGUGUGACGCCUGCCCGGUGCCGGAAGGUUAAUUGAUGGGGUCAGCGCAAGCGAAGCUCCUGAUCGAAGCCCCGGUAAACGGCGGCCGUAACUAUAACGGUCCUAAGGUAGCGAAAUUCCUUGUCGGGUAAGUUCCGACCUGCACGAAUGGCGUAAUGAUGGCCAGGCUGUCUCCACCCGAGACUCAGUGAAAUUGAACUCGCUGUGAAGAUGCAGUGUACCCGCGGCAAGACGGAAAGACCCCGUGAACCUUUACUAUAGCUUGACACUGAACAUUGAGCCUUGAUGUGUAGGAUAGGUGGGAGGCUUUGAAGUGUGGACGCCAGUCUGCAUGGAGCCGACCUUGAAAUACCACCCUUUAAUGUUUGAUGUUCUAACGUGGACCCGUUACCCGGGUUGCGGACAGUGUCUGGUGGGUAGUUUGACUGGGGCGGUCUCCUCCUAAAGAGUAACGGAGGAGCACGAAGGUUGGCUAAUCCUGGUCGGACAUCAGGAGGUUAGUGCAAUGGCAUAAGCCAGCUUGACUGCGAGCGUGACGGCGCGAGCAGGUGCGAAAGCAGGUCAUAGUGAUCCGGUGGUUCUGAAUGGAAGGGCCAUCGCUCAACGGAUAAAAGGUACUCCGGGGAUAACAGGCUGAUACCGCCCAAGAGUUCAUAUCGACGGCGGUGUUUGGCACCUCGAUGUCGGCUCAUCACAUCCUGGGGCUGAAGUAGGUCCCAAGGGUAUGGCUGUUCGCCAUUUAAAGUGGUACGCGAGCUGGGUUUAGAACGUCGUGAGACAGUUCGGUCCCUAUCUGCCGUGGGCGCUGGAGAACUGAGGGGGGCUGCUCCUAGUACGAGAGGACCGGAGUGGACGCAUCACUGGUGUUCGGGUUGUCAUGCCAAUGGCACUGCCCGGUAGCUAAAUGCGGAAGAGAUAAGUGCUGAAAGCAUCUAAGCACGAAACUUGCCCCGA